CGCGUAGGUGGUUUGACAAGUCAGAGGUGAAAUCCCUUGGCUCAACCAAGGAACUGCCUCUGAAACUGUCAGACUUGAGUACGGGAGAGGGAGGUAGAAUUUCUGGUGUAGCGGUGAAAUGCGUAGAUAUCAGAAAGAAUACCAGUGGCGAAGGCGGCCUCCUGGCCCGAUACUGACACUGAGGUGCGAAAGCGUGGGUAGCAAACAGGAUUAGAUACCCUGGUAGUCC
rnacentral:rRNA from 1 species